CAGAUACUAUAUACUAAAAAUAUGGAACAUUACAUUUAAAAGUUAUGUAUUAAAUAUUUGUCACAAGUUCGACAUAGAGUUUCACAUUUACUUUUCAAAAGGAUACAUCCAUCGAUACUGCACAGGUCUAGAUAUCCUUAUUUCAUAUGGAAGGGGAACAGGUAGAUAUUCCAUUGAGUCCAAGAUCCCAGGAGAAAAUAUACAUUCUAACUUGCACAAAAUUUGUAAAAUAUCUCCCUCUAAUUGCACCAUAUCAUCCACUCGUAGAGUGGUCAAAGUAAGAUCCUUAAAAAAUAGCUCAAUUCUGUAAGUGUCGGCUACACAUUACUAGGAAGUAGUUCAUGAAAAGCAAUAGACAUUAGUCAUUUCAUGAACACAUGAAAAUUGUGAAUUUUCAUACCAAAUAACCUUUUCACAUUUGUGUCUGGCAAUCUACCCAAAUUUGAAACAUACCCAUCUGGAAACUUUAAGCCUAUCACUCAAUUAAACAAGAUAGAUCUUGAUUCCUUGUCUGUUGUAUAGACUGCUUUUGGAUAUUGUCCAGUACUAUGUUUUACCAACUGAGGUCGAUCAUAAUACUUUGUUGUAUCUAGACGUGACUAUAGAUUGUAUUUGGUUUUGUCAUCAAAAUUUAAAAAGUAUUAUAUACAUUAUCAAAGAAAUUUUUCUCAAUAAGCAUGACAUCAAGAUUAUGUCAGAUCAUGUUAGAACUCCAGUAUGGCAAAUCCCAAAAGAUGUUUUGCUUUUUCCAACCACAUGUCUUACAUAUUCUUUGAUUAACUUCUUCUGCAGCUACUCUGUUAUAUUUCUUAUCCCCAAAUUACAAAUUUGGUUCAAAAUUUCAUUCCCUAUUCUAUAUGAUGGUGGGGGUCUUUUGAUAGUCUGGCCUUUAAGAAAGUGCUUUCGAUCUCUCCUAAAUAGGUGAUGUUGUUUAAGGAACAUUCUAUGGCAAUCAAACCAAGAUUGUUUUCUUCCAUGGUGUAAUCUAAAGGAUUGUGUUUCCU
rnacentral:lncRNA from 1 species